GUGUGAUGAUGAAACCCAUGCGUGUCAGCUGACUCUGUAAACUCCAGCCAUGUUGGUUCUCUGGUUGGCGUUCUGCUGGCUUGAGUCAUCAGCACGGUGGGGGUCCAGAGAUGUGAUCAUACAUGACUACUUCUGAAUAC